AGUGAACGCUGGCGGUAGGCUUAACACAUGCAAGUCGAACGGCAGCACAGUAAGAGCUUGCUCUUACGGGUGGCGAGUGGCGGACGGGUGAGGAAUACAUCGGAAUCUACUUUUUCGUGGGGGAUAACGUAGGGAAACUUACGCUAAUACCGCAUACGACCUACGGGUGAAAGCAGGGGAUCUUCGGACCUUGCGCGAUUGAAUGAGCCGAUGUCGGAUUAGCUAGUUGGCGGGGUAAAGGCCCACCAAGGCGACGAUCCGUAGCUGGUCUGAGAGGAUGAUCAGCCACACUGGAACUGAGACACGGUCCAGACUCCUACGGGAGGCAGCAGUGGGGAAUAUUGGACAAUGGGCGCAAGCCUGAUCCAGCCAUACCGCGUGGGUGAAGAAGGCCUUCGGGUUGUAAAGCCCUUUUGUUGGGAAAGAAAGGCAGCAGGUUAAUACCCCGCUGUUCUGACGGUACCCAAAGAAUAAGCACCGGCUAACUUCGUG
rnacentral:rRNA from 1 species